CCGCUCAUUGCCCAUCACACUGCGUGGUAAAGUUUUUAUUCUUUUUAAGGUUGAAGAAGUUCUUUCGAAGGAAGCGGUCCUCACUGGAAGAGUUGGUAAAAUUGUAAGCAGGUAGUGAAUAUUUUUAAAAUACGUUGCAUCGCAAUGUUGCAGUAAUUUCAACACUUCUAUGGUUGGAUCUAUUGUUGAUAAGCUGGCACACCACAGUCGAUACUCUGAUUUUAAUGCUGUCAUUGAUAUUUGCUCCUCGAAGUAAAUAGUUAAAUUUUUUAAUUCUUCGGCAUUAUCAAUUGCAGCAAAACCUGGGAGUAGAAUUUGAAAUGACGAGAGUAUAUCCUCAUUCACUAAUAAACGUUCUGUCAUCUUUUGAAUCAGAGCAUCAACGCAUGGAAUAAAUAUUGUAACUCUGAAGUGGCUUUCAGGGGUUGUGCAAGGUGGAUUAGCACGAGUAGUUUGACGCGAAGUGCCAAAACGAUCUUGAGACAUUUGUGAUGCUGUUUGGAAAAUAUCGUUGAAAAAACCAUCCGCUGUUUCUGUUGUAGUUUGUUGUUUUAACGGUUAGCUAAUCCCCGUUAGGAUGGUAAGGGUUGUUUGUGUUGUCGUCGAGAUCAUCUAACGGUAGGCCCAAGAAACGUGCUGUUUCGACGGGGUCGGAUCAAAGGGAAGAGGGUGUUAGAUGGGUGGGGUUUGUGGGGCAUGCAAAGAGGUCGCCAGUGUCAUGCGGAGACUCGUUGCAUGCAGGACAUACAUUAAUACCUAAUGUCGGGGUCGA